rnacentral:misc_RNA from 1 species
UUAAGUUCAGCGGGUAGUCCUACCUGAUUUGAGGCCAGAGUCAAAAGGUGCGCAAUGGCAGGUUCUGAGCGGGCGGUUACAAGCAAGGGACAAGACGAAACUUAUUACGUCCGUCACGGAUGCGAGCGAUCCCACUGAGUCAUUUGAGGCGAGCCAUGUGACUGGCAGACACCCAAGUCCAAGUCCAACAUCGGAUCAUA